rnacentral:rRNA from 1 species
AGUGAACGCUGGCGGCAGGCCUAACACAUGCAAGUCGAACGGCAGCACAGCAGUAGCAAUACUGUGGGUGGCGAGUGGCGGACGGGUGAGGAAUACAUCGGAAUCUGCCUAGUCGUGGGGGAUAACGUAGGGAAACUUACGCUAAUACCGCAUACGACCUACGGGUGAAAGCGGGGGAUCGCAAGACCUCGCGCGAUUAGAUGAGCCGAUGUCCGAUUAGCUAGUUGCGGGUAAUGGGCCCACCAAGGCGACGAUCGGUAGCUGGUCUGAGAGGAUGAUCAGCCAC